GCUGGGCGGAUUAGUGGCGAACGGGUGAGUAACACGUGGGUGAUCUGCCCUGCACUUCGGGAUAAGCCUGGGAAACUGGGUCUAAUACCGGAUAUGACCACAGGAUGCAUGUUUUGUGGUGGAAAGGUUUACUGGUGCAGGAUGAGCCCGCGGCCUAUCAGCUUGUUGGUGGGGUAAUGGCCUACCAAGGCGACGACGGGUAGCCGGCCUGAGAGGGCGACCGGCCACACUGGGACUGAGACACGGCCCAGACUCCUACGGGAGGCAGCAGUGGGGAAUAUUGCACAAUGGGCGAAAGCCUGAUGCAGCGACGCCGCGUGAGGGAUGACGGCCUUCGGGUUGUAAACCUCUUUCAGCAGGGACGAAGCGCAAGUGACUGUACCUGCAGAAGAAGCACCGGCUAACUACGUGCCAGCAGCCGCGGUAAUACGUAGGGUGCGAGCGUUGUCCGGAAUUACUGGGCGUAAAGAGUUCGUAGGCGGUUUGUCGCGUCGUGUGUGAAAUCCCGCAGCUCAACUGCGGGCUUGCAGGCGAUACGGGCAGACUUGAGUACUGCAGGGGAGACUGGAAUUCCUGGUGUAGCGGUGAAAUGCGCAGAUAUCAGGAGGAACACCGGUGGCGAAGGCGGGUCUCUGGGCAGUAACUGACGCUGAGGAAC
rnacentral:rRNA from 1 species